rnacentral:rRNA from 1 species
GACUGUACAAAGGUAGCAUAAUCAUUUGUCUCUUAAUUGGGGUCUAGAAUGAAAGGUUGGAUGAGGGGUGUAUUUUCUUUAUUUUAAGUGAAUGAAUUUAAUUUUUGUGUUAAAAAGCAUAAAUUGUAAUGUAGGACGAGAAGACCCUAUAGAACUUUAUUAUGAUUCUUAUAUUUUAAUUUUAGUUUUUAUAAUUUAGAUUGUUUGAUGAUCAUAAUUUGAUUGGGGUGAUGGAAAAAAUUAUAUAACUUUUUUUAUUUUUAUCAUUUAUGUAUGGGUUUUUGAUCCUUUUUUAGGAAAAAAGAUUAAGUUACCUUAGGGAUAACAGCGUUAUUUUAUUAUAGAGUUCAUAUCGAUAAUAUAGUUUGCGACCUCGAUGUUGGAUUAAAAUAAGUGGCAGGAGUAGAUUAUUGCUUACUAGGUCUGUUCGACCUAUAAAUUUUUACA